rnacentral:rRNA from 1 species
UACGUAGGGGGCAAGCGUUGUCCGGAUUUAUUGGGCGUAAAGAGCUCGUAGGUGGUUCGGUAAGUCGGAUGUGAAAUCUCCAGGCUCAACCUGGAGGGGUCAUUCGAUACUGCCGUGACUAGAGUUCGGUAGGGGAGUGUGGAAUUCCUGGUGGAGCGGUGAAAUGCGCAGAGUAUCAGGAGGAACACCCGUAGCGAAGGCGGCACUCUGGGCCGAUACUGACGCUGAGGAGCGAAAGCGUGGGGAGCGAACAGGAUUAGAACCUACCGUAGUCAGUCCAAGACCAUCUCGUGC